CAGUAUUUACAUCAAGACCUUAGAGGAAACAGAGUUUUUUAAACAUAGUAGAUCAGAAGACUAGACAAGCUGUUUACCAUGAAACUAAAUAGCAGCAAACCUGUAUCUAUCUUUCUUCCCUGACCUUUCUGACAUCUGCAGAAAUGCAUUCUGGAUUUUAUUCUGUCAUCUGUAAGACUGGAAAUGAAAUGUUGCAUUUGAUCAUAUAAAUCAAGCAGUAAGUCAAGGAAAAGAUAAAAUAAGCACACAAUGAACUCACUGUGAAUGAGCUGGGAAAAUCUAAAAGUAGGAACCUGGUUUUAUACACAAUACAAGUACAUAUGCGUGCACAGAACAGAGAAAGGUCAUAAACAACAAAGAUAGUGAAGUUGUAAGUAAAAUGAAAAUGAUACCUGAUCGUGAUACUCUUUUCCCCAGAAAAUGCAAACAGAACUACAAUCAAGGUACUUCUACAUGCAAUGAACUGUAUGAAGAGAUUUAUCAGCACUUCAACAAAAGCUUUUUCCAUACUGGGAUUUUGAGACUUCAUUAACAGAGCAAGUGUAUUUCAGCCCUUGUUUUAAGAUUUGCUAAUCUUCAAGAUUCACAGUGGCCAAGAAAUAACAGCAGAGCUUAUGCAAGCCACUCAGCAAGGAAGCUGCAAUGGCAUAUACCUUGGGGCUUUAUUUUAUUGUGGAACUGCCAAGUUAUGGCAAGGCUUGAUCACCCUAUAAUUAUACCAGGAAAUGUAUGCUUCCACAAGUCAGCCAUAAUUCUUAGAGUUCAAUUGCAGUCCUUUAUGAAAUAAAGAUCAAUUAUGUUACAUUUUCCAAAGUGUGGAAAGAAAAACAGACAUUUUAAAUGCUAAUUAAAAAAGAAAUUAACAGACCAAUGUUGCAUUUAGUAUUUCAAGACAGGAAAUUAGCAAAAUCAGGUAAGGCCCUGACACUGGGAAAUCAUUUGUUUCC